UAAGGCCGUUAGAGCGAGGCGGAACCACCUCUUCCCAUUUCGAACAGAGAAGUGAAAAGCCUCAGCGCCGAUGAUACUGCAGCUACUCAGCUGUGGGAACCUAGGUCACGGCCACUU
rnacentral:rRNA from 1 species